GCUGAACUUAAGCAUAU
rnacentral:rRNA from 1 species